AUUGAACGCUAACGGCGUGCUUAACACAUGCAAGUCGAGCGGCAGCAUGAUCUGUAGCAAUACAGAUUGAUGGCGAGCGGCGGACGGGUGAGUAACAUAUAGGAAUCUGCCUUGUAGUGGGGGAUAACCCGGGGAAACUCGGGCUAAUACCGCAUAAUCUCUACGGAGCAAAGUGGGGGACCGUAAGGCCUCACGCUAAAAGAUGAGCCUAUAUUGGAGUAGCUAGUUGGUGAGGUAAUGGCUCACCAAGGCGACGAUCCAUAGCUGGUCUGAGAGGGUGGUCAGCCACACUGGGACUGAGACACGGCCGAGACUCCUACGGGAGGCAGCAGUGGGGAAUAUUGGACAAUGGGCGCAAGCCUGAUCCAGCGACGCCGUGUGUGUGAAGAAGGCCUUCGGGUUGUAAAGCACUUUUAGUUGGGAAGAAAAGCUUAUGGUUAAUAACCAUGAGUGAUGACGUUACCAACAGAAAAAGCACUGGCUAACUCUGUGCCAGCCGCCGCUGUAACAC
rnacentral:rRNA from 1 species